AGCAAACGCUGGCGGCGUGCCUAAUACAUGCAAGUCGAACGCCUGUAGUAAUACAGGAGUGGCGCACGGGAGAGGAACACGUGGGUAAUCUACCUUUAGGAGGGGAACAACCAGUCGAAAGAUUGGCUAAUACCCCAUAUGACCACAGUGACUGAUGUCACAGGGGUAAAAGAUUUAUCGCCUAUAGAUGAGCCUGCGUCCCAUUAGCUAGUUGGUGAGGUAAUAGCUUACCAAGGCGACGAUGGGUAGCUGGUCUGAGAGGAUGAUCAGCCCCACUGGAACUGAGACACGGUCCAGACUCCUACGGGAGGCAGCAGUAGGGAAUAUUGCACAAUGGGCGCAAGCCUGAUGCAGCGACGCCGCGUGAGUGAUGAAGGUCUUCGGAUUGUAAAGCUCUGUUGUUAGGGAAUAAGAAAGUGAAUGUACCUGACGAGAAAGCACCGGCUAACUUCGUGCCAGCAGCCGCGGUAAUACGGA
rnacentral:rRNA from 1 species